UGAUGACAUAAGUUUAUUGCCAUAUCACCCCACCACAGCCUGCUCCUUCACGUUUCCUCCCCCUGCAAUCCCUUGCCUCCUUAUCGUAGAUAGACAAAUGCUUUGAUGAGAAAUCCAAUUAUCCAAAUGUUCUAGAUCUGAGAGGUAUGUUGUUCCUCCAACAAGGAUGAUAUUGCUUGCUCCAAGAUUCAAGCAAUGAAUGGUAGAAGUUCAGACUUUAGAGAAGCAAAAUGAGCAGAGGUGGAGAGAAAGGUUUCAAAACUACAAAAAUCCAGAAGGAAAUUUCAAUGGAUAGCUGAAAAAUAUGUCUGAUGAUGCUUUCAUUUGUGGAAACAAUUAUACUUUCUACAUUGAAGCCUUGCUGCCUAGCUUUCUUUUAGGAGUCCUUUGUUUUACUUUUUGGUUUUCAUCUACCAAAGUGAAUUUGUUUUUAGACAGCUUUAGUUUGAAAGAAACUACUAUUUGUACUAACAGACUUAUUCAAAUUUUACUUGGAGCCCAUGGAAAGUUACGGUGUCAACAAAAAACUGUCAUGAUACUUUCUAUUAUAUUUAUUCUCUUUGUAAUCAUUUUGACUUGGAGCCCAUUGAAAGUUAUGUACUAAUUUUAUAUGCUUACAUUCCAAUGAAAAGCUUUAAUGAUCUUGUAAUGUAUAGGUUUUUUGAACUAAAAGAAAGAUGCCCUAUCUUAAUUUA